rfam:Stegodyphus mimosarum contig92068, whole genome shotgun sequence.
GCCUUCGUGGUGUAGUGGUCUGCAUGCUAGACGUGUAACCGAGAGUUCCGUGGUUCGAUUCCCUGCGAAGGCG